rnacentral:misc_RNA from 1 species
GCUGCCCCAACCAGUAGGCAGUGCGAGGGGCGCGUGAGAUGCACUCGAGCCAUGCUGGCACCUCGGCCCAUCGCAUGGGUGGCGCAAGCGUGCUCUCUGUCGCCGGUCGCUCCGACGCAUCCCCGUCCAGGACCUGACCACCGACAUCCGCAGUGAUACGUCGCACCCACCUGCCUAGGCGGCAGGCGCUUCACCCUGUCAUCACCAGCGGUGGGCUCGGCAUUUCGCAGGCACAGGAAGGGAGGGCUGCUUGGCUUCCCCGCCCCCACUCCCUCCCCCGCGCCGACAGAGCGAGUAGGGGUGUACUGAGCACCGAGAUACCACGCACUGAGGCCUUCCUCCUGUCAUCGUGAGAAUAAAGAGGGAAUGAAAUAGAAACACACAAAUGAAGGUAAUGAGUUUAACGGAGGUAAAGAGGACCUUCACUUUUCAGGAUGUGGGCAGGCGCAUUUCGGUGUUGCGCUAAUGCAACGGGGCUCAGGACCCACAUCAAAACAUUUUCUCUGCUUUUUUUUACUUUCCCGGAAAGCUCGUCGCCCUCUAUAUCGAGCUUCUUCGGAAAACACCACAAAACCCGCACAUACACUGAGAAAGUGAAAUGCCUUUUCCCCUCUCUUCUGUGGCAAAAAAAAGACUCCUUUUUACUUCUCAUACUGAUCUUUUAUAAUCUCGAUCUCGCCAUUCCACAUGCUAG